rnacentral:rRNA from 1 species
CACGCCGUAAACGAUGAGAACUAGACGCUUGUUUGUUUAAUCAAGUGAGUGUCGAAGCAAACGCAUUAAGUUCUCCGCCUGGGGANACGCGAAGAACCUUACCUACCCUUGACAUGUCAGGAAGCUUUCAGAGAUGAGAGUGUGCCCGCGAGGGAACCUGAACACAGGUGC